rnacentral:rRNA from 1 species
UACGGAGGGAGCUAGCGUUGUUCGGAAUUACUGGGCGUAAAGCGCACGUAGGCGGCUUUGUAAGUUAGAGGUGAAAGCCCGGGGCUCAACCCCGGAAUUGCCUUUAAGACUGCAUCGCUUGAAUCCGGGAGAGGUGAGUGGAAUUCCGAGUGUAGAGGUGAAAUUCGUAGAUAUUCGCAAGAACACCAGUGGCGAAGGCGGCUCACUGGCCCGGUACUGACGCUGAGGCACGAAAGCGUGGGGAGCAAACCGG